CGCACGUAAUCAGAAACAGUACGCCUUUUUGCCGCCGGCUUUAGGGAUUUUUGGGAAAACAUAGGAAUUUUAGAGAUCCUUGUUAAGGAAUUCUCAAAUUUGGUUGUGCGUCGAUCUUUGUGCGCGGAUUUCUCUUCAGCGCACAGUGAAGGACAGCGCAGUUCAGAAGAAAUUGCGCAAAGUAGAUUCGCAAAUAUUCGACGGGAAUAUGGAAUCGAUGGCGUAUUUCGUUCUACUGGUGUGUCUCGUGGCUGGAGGCUUCGCUGAAGAUCCUGAAAUCAACAUGAAUGUG